UCUUCUGCUCUCUGAAGUUAAUAUAAGAUUUACAGAAACCUUAAAGCAAAGGCACUCAUGUAAGAAUUAGUUAGUUAGCUGCCACGAACUCUUAGGGAAGUACGUAGUUUUUGCGAGGUUGUCCGCGCUGCGUUCAUUCGUUUUUUAUGUAUGUACCCGUUCGGUAAAGCAAUAUAGAAAUUAGACGAAAUAAUAAAAGUUGAGAGAGCAUUAAAAUUUGUUUGAAAUAAUAUUAAUUAUGUUUUUAUUUCAUUUGGUAAUUUUUCCUUUAGAAUUAGUAAAUAGUAAUCGCUAGAGUCCGAAAAAAAUCAGAAAAAAUAAAAAGAAAAUGUCGCCAAGUAAUAAUCGGAUGCUUUCGUUUUUGCUUUCGGGUAUGACGCUGGUUUAGCAAAUGUACAAUCGUAGAUGCGAAGAACAGAAGUGAUAGAAAUAAGCUAUUUUCGUGAUUGUCUCUGUUAAGAAAGCAUUCAAUAAAAAAAUAUCCAUUUUGCAAACAUAAAAAGUUUUCAUUAUUGUCACCGAGAAGUAUGAACACUGUUCCCAGACAGAUUUAUACUAUGCAAGAUGUUUAAAAAUCGACUUUUUCUUAUUGAUAUUGUAAAAAGGAAUUAAAAUUGAAAAAUUUGCUAAAAUAUCACAAAUGUUUUUAAGCAAAACCACUCAUAUAAGAAUUAUUUAGUUGCCAUAGACUCUUAGGAAUUUUAGCGGGGUCGUCCAUGGAGCGUCCAUUCGUUUUUUCGGAAAAACGAUAUAGAAAUUAGACGAAAUAAAUAAUAAAUGUUAAUAAAACAUUAGAAUUUGCCGAAAAAAAUGGUUAAGUAAUAAUCGGGUGCCUUCGUUUUUACUUUCGUGUAUAUUCAUAGGUUAUCGUAGGUGCGAAGAAGAUAAGUGAUAGAAAUAAACUAUUUCGGUAAGCAAACAUGUAUACGUUCGUGCAAUCAUUUCGAAAGAAUAUUUAGAGCUUCGUUAAAUUAAAUGAAGUAUGCCGGGAUCUCGACGUAUACUAAAGUUACUAUGAAACAAAAAAGGACAGAUAGAUAAUCCCAUGUGACUGCUAUUUCUUUUGCGGAUGUGAGUGAAUUUCUUUUUCAAUUAAAAGCAAAUAAAGCCUAAAUAUCCAAUAGUUCAUUCAUAAUGCACAAACAAACAAACUUAACUUCUUCGCGAUGUUAAGAAACCAUUUUAACAAUAUAAUAAGUAAGUGCGGAAUAGUAAAAUCGGGCUCACGGUCGUGGUAAAGAAAAUAUGGAUUUAUAAAAAAUAAUAAAUAUGUGAAUAGUUCAGCACGGACAUAGACGACCGACCGAAGGACAGCAGCGCAAAAACAAGUUACUCUGUUUGAAGUCCGUUUUGAUAUGCUAGAACCAAUUCAUGAUUUUUAUUGUGUGUAGAAAAAUCCGUUUAGUCUGUGCGGGAUGUGCAUAUACAUGUACGCAAGAACGCUUCCUCAUGCUAACCGUUGUAUUUGAUUAUUACUUUCGAUAUUGGGAAAUGCAAAUGUUGUAACAGAGUCCGAAAGAUAAGUCUUUUUUUAACAUUAUCUGCUCUACGGAGCUUGCUCAAUUCUCUGAUCCGUACUCAAUUGUACAUACCUGUGUGCGACAAACUUCAAAACAUUUACGUGGUCUUUACUUACAUAUUACGUACAGCUUUAAAUAAUUAUAUCGCAAAAUUUCUCAACCAGUGUCGGUAAAAGCUCUCUCUUGGAAAAUCAAGAAAAAUUACUUUAUUAUGGUAAUUUUUGGAAAACUUUUUCGUCGUAUGACAUAACCACAACUCGAGGCUAAAUGACUUUAUAGUAUGUAUGGCUCAUCGCAUCGACUUGAAACCCAGUAAAUGAAUUCACAUUGAAUUCAAGUAAAAUCAAACCGUCAACAAGGAGAAAGAAUCAAUCGGUUGUUGAACUUCAAAAAACCGCUCCGGUAAGUAGAGAAAUUGUUACUGUUAGUGACAUUGUUGAAAUUAGCUUGGUUUACCCUCAUUGCUUUUCACAUUUGCCAAAUGGAGACAAUAAAUAAUUGCCUAUGUGGCAGUAAAGCGUAUCAAAAAUGAAAAAAAAAAA